GCAGUCGUGGCCGAGUGGUUAAGGCGAUGGUCUCGAAAAUCAUUGGGGUUUCCCCACGCGGGUUCAAAUCCCGCCGACUGCG
rnacentral:tRNA from 1 species